rnacentral:rRNA from 1 species
UACGUAGGGUGCGAGCGUUUGUCCGGAAUUAUUGGGCGUAAAGAGCUUGUAGGCGGUUUGUCGCGUCUGCUGUGAAAAUCCGGGGCUCAACCCCGGACUUGCAGUGGGUACGGGCAGACUAGAGUGUGGUAGGGGAGACUGGAAUUCCUGGUGUAGCGGUGGAAUGCGCAGAGAUCAGGAGGAACACCGAUGGCGAAGGCAGCAUCCUGGCCGAGUACUGACGCUGAGGCGCGAAAGCGUGGGGAGCGAACGGG